rnacentral:tRNA from 1 species
GGGAUUGUAGCUUAGUGGUAGAGUGUUUGCCUAGUAUGCAUGAAGCUCUGGGUUUGAUUCCUCAGUACCA